UGGGGAAUAUUGCACAAUGGGGGAAACCCUGAUGCAGCGACGCCGCGUGAGCGAAGAAGUAUUUCGGUAUGUAAAGCUCUAUCAGCAGGGAAGAAAAUGACGGUACCUGACUAAGAAGCACCGGCUAAAUACGUGCCAGCAGCCGCGGUAAUACGUAUGGUGCAAGCGUUAUCCGGAUUUACUGGGUGUAAAGGGAGCGUAGACGGCUGUGCAAGCCUGAAGUGAAAGGCCGGGGCCCAACCCCGGGAGUGCUUUGGGAACUGUGCGGCUAGAGUGUCGGAGAGGCAAGUGGAAUUCCCAGUGUAGCGGUGAAAUGCGUAGAUAUUGGGAGGAACACCAGUGGCGAAGGCGUCUUGCUGGACGAUGACUGACGUUGAGGCUCGAAAGCGUGGGGAGCAAACAGGAUUAGAUACCC
rnacentral:rRNA from 1 species